rnacentral:rRNA from 1 species
CUACGGGAUGCUGCAGUGGGGAAUAUUGGACAAUGGGGGAAACCCUGAUCCAGCAAUGCCGCGUGUGUGAAGAAGGCCUGCGGGUUGUAAAGCACUUUCGGUUGGGAGGACUGCUUCUAGCACUAAUAUUGUUGGAAGUUGACGUUACCUUCAGAAGAAGCACCGGCUAACUCCGUGCCAGCAGCGCGCGGUAAUACGGAGGGUGCAAGCGUUAAUCGGAAUUACUGGGCGUAAUGCGCGCGUAGGCGGCUAGAUCAGUCGGGUGUGAAAUCCCCGGGCUUAACCUGGGAACUGCAUCCGAUACUGUCUAGCUUGAGUACAGGAGAGGAGAGUGGAAUUCCACAUGUAGCGGUGAAAUGCGUAGAUAUGUGGAGGAACACCAAUGGCGAAGGCAGCUCUCUGGCCUGAUACUGACGCUGAGGUGCGAAAGCGUGGGGAGCAAACAGGAUUAGAUACCCCUGUAGUC